UGAGCAAUCUGCCCUUCUCAUCGGAAUAAGCGUUGGAAACGACGUCUAAUGCCGAAUACGACCUCCUUUCGCAUGAUCGGAGGUGGAAAGCUCCGGAGGAGAAGGAUGAGCUCGCGGCCUAUCAUCUAGUUGGUGUGGUAAUGGCCCACCAAGGCGACGACGGGUAGCCGGCCUGAGAGGGUGACCGGCCACACGUGGGACUGAGACACGGCCCAGUCUCCUACAGGAGG
rnacentral:rRNA from 1 species